ACCAGUUUAGCUUAAUGGUAAAGCACUUGGCUGGAAUCUUCAAGGGAUGUGAGUUCGAGUUCCAUGGCUGGUU
rnacentral:tRNA from 1 species